UGGGGGAUAUUGCACAAUGGGCGAAAGCCUGAUGCAGCGACGCCGCGUGGGGGAUGAAGGCCUUCGGGUUGUAAACUUCUUUUGUUCUGAACAAGGCACGCCUUUGGGGUGUGUUGAGUGUAGGGGUUGAUUAGCGCCGGCUAACUACGUGCCAGCAGCCGCGGUAAUACGUAGGGCGCGAGCGUUGUCCGGAAUUAUUGGGCGUAAAGGGCUUGUAGGUGGCUGGUUGCGUCUGUCGUGAAAGCUCAUGGCUUAACUGUGGGUUUGCGGGGGGUACGGGCUGGCUUGAGUGCAGUAGGGGAGGCUGGAAUUCCUGGUGUAGCGGUGGAAUGCGCAGAUAUCAGAAGAAAUACCGGUGGCGAAGGCGGGUCUCUGAGCUGUUACUGACGCUGAGGAGCGAAAGCGUGGGGAGCGAACAGG
rnacentral:rRNA from 1 species